UCAAAAGCCAUGGGAAGAAAAGAAAAUGAACAGUGAUAACUUUUAGACAAGAGCGUAGUAGUAGCUGGAACUACAUAAUUAUCCCACCAUGACAAUAUCCUAUUAAGAAAAGUCAAGUAAUUCAGCAAAUGACUCAGAGCUUGAGAUAUCUGACAGGCGUAGAGCAUGCCCUGGGAGAAAUCAUGCUAACAUACUAUUGCAUGGAAAGUAAUAGCAAGUGACUCAGUGUCAAUUAGCCUACCUCCUCCAACUGACCAGCCAUCAUACAGUACGUACUGAAUGUGGGCGCUGUGGAAAUGUGCACAGUGUUGAACAAGUCCAUAUGAUUACUACAAGAUAACAGCACUGAGAACUAUGGCAUGAGAAUGAGCAUUUUGCACAUUGUCAUUGAGGGUCAAAAGUUGGGGUCAGAGGUUGAGGGUCAUAAUUGAUACAACAUGCCCUACAGAAAAAAGGAUUUUCUGCUUAGUUGCUGAGUCAACUGUUCAGGUCGUGUGGCGACAUGUUUCAGGUCAGUCUUGAUGGAUAGUUUUCUCCAAGCUUCCUCACCGUUUUGCACUCUAGUGUCAUGGUUAAGAUGAUUUACAGUGGUUUUCGACUAAGAAAGUCUUUAUAAAGCAGCAAUACGUUAGGAGAUGUAAUACUUCGGCCAGUAUAAAAGGAACAGAAGGAUUUUUACAUUAUUUAAUGAGAGACAGGGAUGGUGUUUAAGUAGCACUUCAAACUUAAAUCCUAAUUUGAGAUCCACAAUUUUAACUAGAGUAACUGUCUACUUCAGCAUAUUGACGUGUGGUAAAAGUGCUAAAAUCAAUGUUGUCAGAAUCACUGGAGAAAGUGUUAUGUUGAAGCCCCUUUGGAAACAGGAAGGCAAUCAUUUGGAGGUUGGUCUUCAUGUUGCCUACAAUCUUGAUAUCCAAACGGCACAAGUGCCACACCACUGUAAAACACAUCCCAGCUGCGUUGCUUCCUCUUUUGUACAGCUCAGAAUUGUGUGUGUGCAUGCGUGUCUGAGUGCGUUUGGCGUGCGUGCAUGCGUUUGAGUGUUUGUGUUUAUGAGGAAUAGGACUGCAUUCAUGAAGUUUUUUAUGUUCUCUUAGAUCGCUGUAUUUCAUAUCAAUUAAAUAUAUAAUUACAACUGCUCUUUUUCAUAUUAAAUGUGGACACCCCCUCACACACUCACACAAUCUAAUUUCCAUUUGUACAGUUUCUGGUUGCUCCAGUUACAUUGAGAAUUUAUAUUCACCAAUAGGUAGUGCAAUAUUAUAAUGCAUUAUUGAAAAAAAGAAUGAAGGUCCUCCAAACGUAUCAAACGCAGCAUUUUACAGUGCAUUCGGAAAGUAUUCAGACCCCUUGACUUUUUCAACAUUUUGUUUCGUUACAGCCUUAUUCUAAAACGGAUUAAAUCGUUUUUUCCCUCAUUAAUCUACACACAGUCCACCAAUACUGUCAAAGCAAAAACAGUUUUUUAGACGUUUUUACAAAUGUAUAUUAAAAAAAACUAUUGGCAGGGAUUACAUUCUCGAGUCUUCAUGGGUAUGACACUACAAGUUUGGCACACCUGUAUUUGGGGAGUUUCUCCCAUUCUUCUCUGCAGAUUCUCUCAAGCUCUGUCAGGUUUGAUGGGGAGCGUUCCUGCACAGCUAUUUUCAGUUUCUCCCCAGAGAUUUUCAAUCAGGUACAAGUCUGGGCUCUGGCUGGGCCACUCAAGGACAUUCAAAGACUUGUCC